UACAGAGGGGGCAAGCGUUGUUCGGAAUUACUGGGCGUAAAGGGCGCGUAGGCGGCCACCUAAGUCAGACGUGAAAUCCCUCGGCUCAACCGGGGAACUGCGUCUGAUACUGGGUGGCUUGAAUCCGGGAGAGGGAUGUGGAAUUCCAGGUGUAGCGGUGAAAUGCGUAGAUAUCGGGAGGAACACCAGUGGCGAAGGCGACUUCCUGGCCUGUUCUUGACGCUGAGGCGCGAAAGCUAGGGUAGCAAACGGG
rnacentral:rRNA from 1 species